rnacentral:rRNA from 1 species
GGGCUCACACAAGCGGUGGAGGAUGUGGCUUAAUUCGAGGCUACGCGAAGAACCUUAUCCUAGAUUUGACAUGCUUGAGAAUCCCUAUGAAAAUAGAGAGUGCCCUUCGGGGAGCUCUUGCACAGGUGCUGCAUGGCUGUCGUCAGCUCGUGUCGUGAGAUGUCGGGUUAAGUCCCUUAACGAGCGAAACCCUUAUCUCUAGUUGCCAGCGGGUAAUGCCGGGGACUCUAGAGAGACUGCCGGUGUCAAACCGGAGGAAGGUGGGGAUGACGUCAAGUCCUCAUGGCCUUUAUGUCUAGGGCUGCACACGUCCUACAAUGGUACGGACAAACGGACGCAAUACCGCGAGGUG